rnacentral:ncRNA from 1 species
GCGGCGGCCAGUCACCGGAGAGGUGGCAGAGUGGUUGAAUGUACCUGACUCGAAAUCAGGCAGGCGUUUAUAGCGCCUCGGGGGUUCGAAUCCCCCCCUCUCCGCCAGAUACGCAAAACGCCCCCUCGCGGGGCGUUU